rnacentral:lncRNA from 1 species
GCAAAAGAAAGCUCACAAACGAGAUGGAAAGGAGCUGGACGCAUAAAGGACUAAAUCUGCUGCAUGGAAAAUCUGUCCCGGGCUAAAACAGCAUUUCUGAAGACUUUGGGACUUACAGACACAAAGCUGGAUUUUUGCCAUAAUACAUUAACCUAGUGCAAUUAGGUUAUGUGUUUCAUCAUUCUAUUUGGAUUAUAAUUUUGUAACCUUACCCUAGUACAAUUGGGUCAAGGAUUUCAUUAGUAUAUUAGGAUUUGGUUAUUUAUUUUAUUAGUUUAGUAGGAGUAGGAUAGGAGUAUUAUAAAUACCCUAUCAUGUUAGAGAUUUUAGAGAGGAGGGGAGACAUUCUGACAAUUCAUUCAUCUCCUUACAAUUAAGACAUCUUCCUACAACCCAUUCUCAAUUCUUCAUUCUUCU